rnacentral:rRNA from 1 species
UACGGGGGGGGCAAGCGUUGUUCGGAAUUACUGGGCGUAAAGGGCUCGUAGGCGGCCAACUAAGUCAUACGUGAAAUCCCUCGGCUUAACCGGGGAACUGCGUCUGAUACUGGAUGGCUUGAGUUCGGGAGAGGGAUGCGGAAUUCCAGGUGUAGCGGUGAAAUGCGUAGAUAUCUGGAGGAACACCGGCGGCGAAGGCGGCAUCCUGGACCGAUACUGACGCUGAUGAGCGAAAGCCAGGGGAGCAAACGGG